AAACCAACAGGGAUUGCCUUAGUAACGGCGAGUGAAGCGGCAAAAGCUCAAAUUUGAAAUCUGGCGCCUUCGGUGUCCGAGUUGUAAUUUGAAGAAGGUAACUUUGGAGUUGGCUCUUGUCUAUGUUCCUUGGAACAGGACGUCACAGAGGGUGAGAAUCCCGUGCGAUGAGAUGCCCAACUCCAUGUAAAGUGCUUUCGAAGAGUCGAGUUGUUUGGGAAUGCAGCUCUAAGUGGGUGGUAAAUUCCAUCUAAAGCUAAAUAUUGGCGAGAGACCGAUAGCGAACAAGUACAGUGAUGGAAAGAUGAAAAGAACUUUGAAAAGAGAGUGAAAAAGUACGUGAAAUUGUUGAAAGGGAAGGGCUUGAGAUCAGACUUGGUAUUUUGCGAUCCCUUCCUUCUUGGUUGGGUUCCUCGCAGCUUACUGGGCCAGCAUCGGUUUGGAUGGUAGGAUAAUGAUUAAGGAAUGUGGCUCUACUUCGGUGGAGUGUUAUAGCCUUGGUUGAUACUGCCUGUCUAGACCGAGGACUGCGUCUUUUGACUAGGAUGCUGGCAUAAUGAUCUUAAGCCAC
rnacentral:rRNA from 1 species